UUGGAGCAUUCCCUGUUACGACAAGUUCCUCAGCUCUGGCAAGAGUUCUGACUUGCGCGGAGCCCCGGCACAGGCUAUCGCAUACCCGAGAUUGAGACACUCUGGGACCAGAGGAAUCAUGCAGGGUGGCGGCUGCCGCCUAAGGCCAAUGUGAAGUGACCGUCCUCUCUGCUCUGUUCUAUCGCCUGCCUCUGCGAAUAUCCUUAAAUAAAGCUUUGCAAGAGUGAAAACAA